rnacentral:misc_RNA from 1 species
UGGUUCCAGCAUCGAUGAAGAACGCAGCGAAAUGCGAUAAGUAAUGUGAAUUGCAGAAUUCCGUGAAUCAUCGAGUCUUUGAACGCACAUUGCACUCCUUGGUAUUCCGAGGAGUACGCCUGUUCGAGCGUCAUUAACUAUCAAGUUUUACUUGGAUUCAAUUUUGCACUGCAAUUUUGUAAUAAUAUUGGCAAUGAACCAUUGAUGACUCUAGGUUCAUUUUAAUGACUAGUUGACCUCGGAUCAGGCGGGGAUACCCGCUGA